UCCGAAUGGGGAAACCCAGUGUGACUCGUCACACUAUCAUUAACUGAAUCCAUAGGUUAAUGAGGCGAACCGGGGGAACUGAAACAUCUAAGUACCCCGAGGAAAAGAAAUCAACCGAGAUUCCCCCAGUAGCGGCGAGCGAACGGGGAGGAGCCCAGAGCCUGAAUCAGCAUGUGUGUUAGUGGAAGCGUCUGGAAAGGCGCGCGAUACAGGGUGACAGCCCCGUACACAAAAGCGCAUGUGCUGUGAGCUCGAUGAGUAGGGCGGGACACGUGGUAUCCUGUCUGAAUAUGGGGGGACCAUCCUCCAAGGCUAAAUACUCCUGACUGACCGAUAGUGAACCAGUACCGUGAGGGAAAGGCGAAAAGAACCCCGGCGAGGGGAGUGAAAAAGAACCUGAAACCGU
rnacentral:rRNA from 1 species